rnacentral:rRNA from 1 species
UACGUAGGGUGCAAGCGUUUGUCCGGAAUUAUUGGGCGUAAAGAGCUCGUAGGCGGGUUUGUCGCGUCGGCUGUGGAAAUCCCGAGCUCAACCUCGGGCCUGCAGUCGAUACGGGCAAACUAGGAGUGGUGGUAGGGGAGACGUGGAAUUCCUGGUGUAGCGGUGAAAUGGCGCAGAUAUCAGGAGGAACACCGGUGGCGAAGGCGGGUCUCCUGGGCCGGUUACUGACGCUGAGGAGCGAAAG